AUAAGGAGUCGGACCUGCCCAGUGAAAAUUUUUAACGGCCGCAGUACUUUGACUGUGCAAAGGUAGCAUAAUCAUUUGCCUUAUAAUUGAAGGCUAGUAUGAAUGGUUUGACAAGAAUAUAACUGUCUCUUUAUAAUUAUAUAGAAUUUUUUAUAUAAGUGAAGAAACUUAUAUUUGAUUAAAAGACAAGAAGACCCUAUCGAGCUUGAAAUAAAUUAAGAGACAAGUUAAUUUAUAAUUUCUAGAAAAUUACCUCUUAUAAAUUUUAGUUGGGGCGACUGAGGAACAAAAAAAGCUUCCUUUAUAAAGUUAAAACUAACAAGUAUUGAUCCAAAACAUUUUGAUUAAAGAAAUUAGUUACCGUAGGGAUAACAGCAUUAUCUUUUUUGAGAGUUCUUAUCGAAAAAAAGGUUUGUGACCUCGAUGUUGGACCAGAAUAUCCUAAAGAUGCAGCAGUCUUWAAGGGUUGGUCUGUUCGACCAUUAAAAUUCUA
rnacentral:rRNA from 1 species